rnacentral:rRNA from 1 species
GCAAGAGGCGAGAGCACGUUGAAUGCUCCAGUGCCUGAUGGAUCACUGAAGCAACGUUGCGCGUGGUUGGUAUCCGGAUGGGGGACCAUCUGGGCAGUCAUGUGCUGAUGGUU